GGGUAAGGAGGUGCAGUGAGGAGACAGGGAAUUAGUGGGUAAGGAGGUGUAGUGAGGAGACAGGGAAUUAGUGGGUAAGGAGGUGUAGUGAGGAGACGGGGAAUUAGUGGGUAAGGAGGUGUAGUGAGGAGACAGGGAAUUAGUGGGUAAGGAGGUGUAGUGAGGAGACAGGGAAUUAGUGGGUAAGGAGGUGUGGUGAGGAGACGGGGAAUUAGUGGGUAAGGAGGUGUAGUGAGGAGACGGGGAAUUAGUGGGUAAGGAGGUGUAGUGAGGAGACAGGGAAUUAGUGGGUAAGGAGGUGUAGUGAGGAGACAGGGAAUUAGUGGGUAAGGAGGUGUAGUGAGGAGACAGGGAAUUAGUGGGUAAGGAGGUGUAGUGAGGAGACAGGGAAUUAGUGGGUAAGGAGGUGUAGUGAGGAGACAGGGAAUUAUUGGGUAAGGAGGUGUAGUGAGGAGACAGGGAAUUAUUGGGUAAGGAGGUGUAGUGAGGAGACAGGGAAUUAGUGGGGUUAGGAGGUGUAGUGAGGAGACGGGGAAUUAGUGGGUAAGGAGGUGUAGUGAGGAGACAGGGAAUUAGUGGGUAAGGAGGUGUAGUGAGGAGAUAGGGAAUUAGUGGGUAAGGAGGUGUAGUGAGGAGACGGGGAAUUAGUGGGU